GCAACAUAGCUCAGUCAGCAGAGCAUGAGGCUCUUAAUCUCAGGGUUGUGGGUUCGAGCCCCAUGUUAGGCA
rnacentral:tRNA from 1 species